GGGGCGGGGCUUGGUGGUGAAAGCCACGCCCCCUUGCGAUGAUUUCAUAUUCAAUGAGGUCGGAACAGACGAGGGCAGACGUCAGCACAGUGACAACACGGACUUCAUUCACCUAAACACCGGCCGACAUGCUUCAUGGAUGCGUCGGUACAUCCUCUGUCAGCCAGUCAGAAGAGUUGGUCCACUUUCUAGCAGCCUCCUGUGAACUUUCCGCGUCUCCGGCAGCACGCAGCCGCUAUGAAGGGAUACCGGUGCCCCGGUGCGGCAUGCAAAUACGUACUCUGACGUCGGCGAUCAUGUGGCUUUUGGCGUAGAUCCUCCUUGUGAUCGUCGAUUUUUUUUGUCCCCCCCCCCCACUCCUGUCGCCUGUUGUCUGCCUAGCUACUGAAGCUACACUGUUUCAAACAGCUUUUCCCGCAUUCUGGCGCUUUGGGAUUGUAACGCACGCUACCCGAGCAUCGCGACGGAACAGUGGACAGACUGUCAGGAGUUGGGGCUCCAGCACAGAGGUCUUUCUGCAUACAGAAACCAACUGGAAGACCAAGGUGGUGUCCUGUCAUGCAUUUUCAUGAGGUCAUCUUGCUGCGGAGCUGACACUGUCAGCGAGACGUGCUCAGAACUUCACCCUCUAUUGCUCCGUUCUCUGCAGCCACUCAUUGUGGCCCAGGGGGCAGUGGCUCCCCUGUUCUAAAAGUCUGACCUGUCCACAGUACAAGUCAGUCCUCCUGGCGAGUCGAAACAUUGUCUGGGCAGUCGUCCUGCCUCACUCUCUCUCCAGUCAUAGUUUCCUUUCCCGGAUAUCUGGCCAAGUAAAAGUGCAAGGAGCCCUCCAUCAUUAUUCAUCAUCAUCAUGUCUAGCCGGCGGAAGGCUUCCACCCCCUGUAUGAUCCGACCACAGGAGACCAUGGUGGAGUUGGAUGAUGAUGAGGAGACAACAGAGAACCAUACUGAGGAGGAUGCUAUGGAGACCGAUCCAUCUGCUGACCUAGACCUGACGGGGAAGACCCCUGAAUCCCUAGCAGCACCUGACAUCCCAGUGUCUGAGUCAUCAGACAGUUCCAAGCCUUCAUGUAAACAGCAAAGGGGCUAUGAGUGCAAGUACUGUACCUUUUCCACUCAGAACCUCAACACAUUCAAAGAACACGUGGAUGCCAACCACCCCAACGUCAUCCUCAACCCACUGUAUCUGUGUGCUGUCUGUAAUUUCAACACAAAAAAGUUUGACUCCCUUACAGAACAUAACGAUAGGAAUCACCCAGGGGAGAGCAACUUCAAGUUUAAACGCAUCAAAAUGAACAAUCAGACCAUCUUGGAACAGACAAUAGAGGGCUGCAGUAACAAUGCAGUCAUUUACAAUAGUUCCAGUGUCGUGUCUGGUAAAGCAGAGGGGCAGAGCACUGUGCCCCUCAGCAAAACCACCGCAAUCAAGAUCGGGAAACAAAAAGUCAUGUCUUCAGAUAAUAAACAGACGGAGCCUCAUUUGUGUAAACUGAACCCCGACUUGACGAAGAAAGCAAUCACAGCACUCAAUGUCAACGGGACAGUAAUCAUCCCAGAGUCGACUCUCCUCAAAGCUGAUGGCCUUUCUCACAUCAUGCCUUCCCUGCAGCGGCCUGUAAACUACACCCAGGUGCCGAAGAUCGCUAUUCCACUCAACACAACCAAAUACAACCCUUCUCUGGAUGACAACCUGACCCUCAUCUCUUCCUUCAACAAAUUCCCAUACCCAACACAAGCUGAGCUCUCUUGGCUUACUGCAGUCUCGAAACAUCCAGAGGAGCAAAUUAAAGUGUGGUUUACCACGCAGAGGCUCAAACAGGGCAUUAGCUGGUCACCGGAGGAGGUGGAGGAAGCACGAAAGAAGAUGUUCAAUGGUACAAUCUCCUCUGUGCCUCAGACCUUCACAGUUGUAACUUCUCAGCUUACCACUCAGUCAUCCGCCAAUCCAUCACCAGUAACCACCGCAGUCUCCAAAUCAGUGCAGCCUGCAGCCUCAGUCCUCCAGUCCGUCCCCUGCCAACUCCUGGGACAGACAAGCCUGGUGCUGACUCCUGUUGCCAACGGCUCUACUGUCACAUGUGCACCACUGGCACUCACGUUGGCUAACCAGGUUGCCCAGUCACUCAAACGACCCUUGCCCUCACCCUCAACUGCCUCAGAGAAUAAACGGCCCUCCAUCAUUCAAGCCAUAUCUGCGCCUAUUGCAACAUCCAAGCUGGCAUCGCCCAAAGUGUUAAACUUCACUGCAGACCCCAACAAAACAGCUGAGCAGCUCUCAGUGCUACGGUCCAGCUAUAUGCAGUGUCCUUUCCCUGAGGAAGAAGAGAUCUACAGGCUGAUAGAGACCACUGGGCUGUCCAGAGGAGAGAUUAAGAAGUGGUUCAGUGAACAAAGGCUCCUUAAUCUCAAAGGUGUUCCUCCGCCCCCAGUGCUGGUGAAAGCUGAUGUGACUCCAGUACCUAAAGAUGGACCCGUGAGGAAAGCGGUCCCGAGCCACUUCCCCCUGCUGGAGCGGGUCAAGGGGAAGUCCACGGAGCAACUGAAUGCACUCGAGGAGAGUUUCCAGAGAAGCAGCACUCCAACGGACACUCAGCUUGAUCAAUUGGCCCAGGAGACCAGGCUGUCCAAGACUGAGGUGGACUGCUGGUUUUCUGAGCGCAGGGCGCUGAGGGACAACAUGGAGAAGGCGUUGCUCAGCGUGACCUCCAAGAAUACAGAUGACAAAGGCGACAGGCCAGGCGUGUUGCUCAAUGGUUCCUCUCAUCGUGAGCAGGAUGGGAAAAUUCUCCAAUCAUCAGCUCUCCCACAGUUCCUUUCUUCUUCUUCGUCAUCCUCAUCCUCCCCUCCUAUGCUUGCAGCAUCGUCCCCUCAUCCUCCAACCUUGUCUGGCUCUGCUUCACCUCCCAUCCUUAAUUCAUCCUCCUCCUCUCCACAUCCUCCCAUCCUAUCUGUGUCGACGAGCCCAGCUCCCAUCCCAAGUGGCUCCCUCACUCUGCUGCGAGAGAUGUUCUGUCGGACCCAGUGGCCAACACCUGAAGAGUACAGCCAGCUGGAGGGGCAAACAAGCCUGGGCCGCACUGACAUUGUCCGCUGGUUUAAGGAACACCGCUCGGCCCGAAAGAACGGUGAGACCUUGGACUGGUUGGAAGCUUACCAGAGCCAAAAAGAACAGCAGAAAUCAGGACAAGAGCAGAAGAGAGACAAUUUUGACAAACAACAACAAAGUGUACCACUGGAAGGAAAAGUGGAGGAAGCAGGUGAGAAGAAAACCGCAGAAGCCGCAUCUACGGAGAACUCCAAGCUGUCCAACCCAGACACAGUACAGUGGUUGACUGAAAAACUCACUCACAGUGUGUCAGACCUGGGCCAGGCCAGGCUGGACCAGACCAGUUCUAAUAUUGCUGAAAAGGGAAGCUUGCGCAUUAUGUUUUCGGCAGGUGGGUUCAGGUGACUGUGGCUGUGGGCGAAGAGAGUGAGGCAGGAUUACAAAGACCGAGACUGGCAGCAGAUGCUGAUGUUUUGACCUUGGAGCAACCUGGGAGGGUCACUGGCUGAUGAUGAUGUGAAUCCAUACACGAGUCACAAAGGUAACUUAAGACACAGAUGCCAAAAGUGCAAGUGGAGUUGUAUCCCCAUGCCGGUGGUGUGGUGACAAAGCAGGUUGGACGUCUGCUCGCCUGUCCCGUGACGUGUGGUGCAGAUGCUCACAUGUAGAGGAGUGCCAAAGCUGGACUUAAUGAUUAAUUUUGGGGGGGAAGAAGUAUCCUUGUAAAUAUCUUUCUGUAUUGCUAAAUACGUGUGUACAGUUGUCUUGGAAGGGCAUGUUUUUGUUUUUUUUAAGACUUGUGCCCAGUACUUAAAAUGUUUGUGUUGUUGUAGCUAAAUGUUGGAAAAAAGCUGUUUAUUUGCUGAAAAUGAAUGCUAUUUUGGAGGAAAAUUUAACCUGCUUUCUGCUUAGUAUGAGUACUUUUUUUCUUAAUGGCACUUGUAUUACUAUAAGGCUUUCUUGCGCUCGGCCGCCUCAUCUCCAGCUAGAACUUUUCUCUAGCAGCGUCAGCCCCUUAUAAAAGGAGUCUCAGACAAUGUUCUCGAAGGAGAGUGAGUGAGUGAGUGAGAGGGAGUGGAUUGUGGGAGUGCAAGCUUGGCCUCACUGCUGGAGACUGAGCUCGACGUUUGCCACAAAGAGCCACCACGUGUGCAGACCAAUUAGGCCAAUGAAUGAUAGAAUGCACUAACUUGUAUCUUUUUUGUGCUCCUGCACCAGUACCUGAGGCAAUAACAGUGCAGAAUGUUCUUAUUUCUGUUCUACUAAUGUUUAAAGACAAAGUCUGUCUGAUCACACCAUGCUGCCUUUUUAGCUCUUUCCGCAUCAACUGAUGAAGAUGAUGAUUCAUAUGGAUUUGGGGGGCGGCAAACUGGCUAUUUUUCACUGAAUUUGCAGGGUUGUGGAGAUUAUUGACUGACGAUUAAACAACUAAAGCAGUUUCAAGUGUGAAUCUUGUUCAGCUGUGAAUUCUGAACGUCUCGUCCGCUUUUGCCUUUCUGGGAUUUGUCUUCUCAACUGGCAGUUGGGGAUUUUGGUUAUUACUGUACAGUCUGCAAUUUUUCUUUUACACGUAAGAUCAAAACUUGGUUGACUGCCUUACAAUCUUUUUUUUUUUUUUCUUGUACUCAAGAUUUAAAGGGAUAUUGUGUCUUUUGUUUUGUCUAAUUGAAUCCUCAUGCUAGCGAUUCCACUGUCACUUCUAUAUAAUGCUGGUUUGAAAAGCAAAAUGAACAUUUCUGCAGCUUAAAUUUCAUGUUCAAGCGUAUUCUGGCUUCUGGUUGGCUUCUAAGGAAUACUGCCUGCAUUUUUAUUUUCUACUUUAAAUCUGCUCUAACUCAAUAAAUACACAAUGCUG